GCUCCAGUAGCUCAGUGGAUAGAGCAUCUGCCUUCUAAGCAGACGGCCGUAGGUUCGAGUCCUACCUGGGGCG
rnacentral:tRNA from 1 species